CUUCCUGAUUUUUUUCUUAAUUGUAUAGUUUUCUAUCAUGCUACAUGUCCUAUAUCCAUAGUCCACCAUUGCUCUCUCUCCUUCUACUAUUUCGCCAGGUUGCUUAUGAUUGUGAGUUUGCAGUAUGGUGUGGAGAAAAUUGCUGGUUAUAUGAAUUAAAUUGUUACAGUUUAAUUAAUAAUUAAUUAUGUUUUCAAAUAUUAUCUUAGAUGGGUUUAGGGUUGGUACAAAAAUGUCGAAGAAGGAUACUAGAUCAAAAUACAGAAUCUUCUUGAUGGAAGAACUUAUUGAAGUUCUUCCAGCACCACAGCUACCAACUGGAGAUUAAGUUCUGCAACUUUAUAACUGGAACCUAACAAAAACAAGGAAAGAGAUGGUUACAAAUAGUUUUGACAGUCUCAAGAAGAGUUCUGUUGUUUCGGUGUCUAUUGUUAACUAAGAGAUUAGAAACUUGUUGCAAAGGUAAUACAUGAUGUCAGACAGAAGAAAGAACUCAUUGUGUGACUGGUGUUAUAAAGAACCUCUGGCAAAGGAGUUCUAUUCCUCGUUCUUUUCUAUGUCUAUAUUUUUAUGUCUAAUUGCCAUAGUCCGAAAUACAUUUAUUAAAUUUUUAACUACAAAAAUAUACUAUUGUUAAUACCAGGGCAUAAUUACAAAGAAAGAACGAUAAAGCUGACAACCAAAAAAACUAGAAGCUUUCUAACAGAAGUGAGAAAAAAGGAAUAUUUUAAGAAAGAAAUGAAGGAGUUGUUUGAUAUUUUUGUCAAAAAUGCUAUUGAGGUUAUUUUGUUUAACAAAAAAAACAAAAAACAAAAACACUAAGGAUGAGAGGCUUACAGAAGCUGCAUUUUAUGAAGAUUAAAAGGGAGAGCGCAUAGCUGUAAUAUAGGUGCCAAAGACAGAGAGUACACAAAAGCAGUGAAAAGGCACCAAAAAAAGUAGGAAUCUUCAAAAAGCAGAAAUGUAAUUUCUGAAUAUGCUGAAAUUCCUGUCGUGAACUCUGGAACAAUAAACAACAAUAAUGAUUUAAAGGGUACAGAUGAUGGGAAAGAUACUGAUUAUCAAGUUGGUGUUAGAUCAAAAUCACAUAAGCGAAAGCUAGAUUUCAUUCGCGUCAUGCUUCCAAGAAAAUUUUUGAAAGAAACCACUGUGACUGCAAAAAUGGCACUUGUCACUAAUUCAGCGGUAGCAAUAAUAUCAGAUUUUGAUGUUUCAUUCUCUUCUGCUAGAUACCAAACCAAUGUAGCACAGGUUUAAACACAGGAAACCAUCACGCCCAUUGGUUUGAAGAAUCUCAAUAAGUUUAACUGGAGUGCAAACUAGGGAACAUUUCUUGAGAAAAAGACACUUGAAGUUAAGAAAUAUCUUGAAGCUAUACUGUACACAAAGGAGUUUCUUCGUGAUGAUUACAAACAUUUAGCCGAGCUUAUAUUGGUCUGGUUGUGAAGUAACAAGAUAAUGAAUUUCAGAUUUCACUAACCUAUUGCAGUACACAAUGCAAGAUUUUCUGCUAAACUCUUAUAUUAUAUGAGCAUAGAACUUUGACAAUGUUUUUACCAAUAUAAUUA